GGAUCCCUACGGGGGGCAGCAGUGGGGAAUAUUGCACAAUGGGGGGAACCCUGAUGCAGCGAUGCCGCGUGGAGGAAGAAGGUUUUCGGAUUGUAAACUCCUUUUAUCAGGGACGAUAAUGACGGUACCUGAAGAAAAAGCUCCGGCUAACUACGUGCCAGCAGCCGCGGUAAUACGUAGGGAGCGAGCGUUGUCCGGAAUUACUGGGUGUAAAGGGAGCGUAGGCGGGACGGCAAGUCAGAUGUGAAAACUGAGGGAUCAACUUUAAGACUGCAUUUGAAACCGCUGUUCUUGAGUGAAGUAUG
rnacentral:rRNA from 1 species